GAUGAAGAACGUAGCGAAAUGCGAUACGUAGUGUGAAUUGCAGAAUUCAGUGAAUCAUCGAAUCUUUGAACGCACAUUGCACCUCUCGGUAUUCCGGGAGGUAUGCCUGUUCGAGCGUCAUUUGUACCCUCAAGCUCUGCUUGGUGUUGGGUGUUUGUUCCGCCUCUGUGUGUGAACUCGCCUCAAAAAAAUUGGCAGCCGGCGUACUUGUUUCGGAGCGCAGCACAUUUUGCGAUCCAGAUCAACGUACAGCGGCAUCCAAGAAGCCUUAUUUAACGCUCUUGACCUCGGAUCAGGUAGGGAUACCCGCUGAACUUAAGCAUAUCAAUAAGCGGAGGA
rnacentral:misc_RNA from 1 species